ACGGCUGCUAAUACCCCAUAUGCCGCGAGGUGAAAUGAAUUUCGCCUGAGGAUGAGCUCGCGUCUGAUUAGCUAGUUGGUGUAGGUAAUGGCUCACCAAGGCAUCGAUCAGUAGCUGGUCUGAGAGGAUGAUCAGCCACACUGGGACUGAGACACGGCCCAGACUCCUACGGGAGGCAGCAGUGGGGAAUUUUCCGCAAUGGGCGAAAGCCUGACGGAGCAACGCCGCGUGAGGGAUGAAGGCCUCUGGGCUGUAAACCUCUUUUAUCAAGGAAGAAGAUCUGACGGUACUUGAUGAAUAAGCCACGGCUAAUUCCGUGCCAGCAGCCGCGGUAAUACGGGAGUGGCAAGCGUUAUCCGGAAUUAUUGGGCGUAAAGCGUCCGCAGGCGGCCCUUCAAGUCUGCUGUUAAAAAGUGGAGCUUAACUCCAUCAUGGCAGUGGAAACUGUUGGGCUUGAGUGUGGUANGGGCAGAGGGAAUUC
rnacentral:rRNA from 1 species